rnacentral:rRNA from 1 species
AAUCAACGCUGGCGGCGCGCUUAACACAUGCAAGUCGCACGAGAAAGGGAGCAAUCCUAAGUAAAGUGGCGCACGGGUGAGUAACACGUGGAUCAUCUACCUUUUAGUGGGGAAUACCUCUGGGAAACCGGAGACAAUACCGCAUAAGCCUGUAAAGGGAAAGCAGCAAUGCGCUGAAAGAGGAGUCCGCGGCCGAUUAGCUAGUUGGCGGGGUAAUGGCCCACCAAGGCGAAGAUCGGUAGCCGGCCUGAGAGGGCACACGGCCACACUGGCACUG